rnacentral:misc_RNA from 1 species
GGGCGCUUAUGUUUAGCCUAUUAUACUCGCAACUAGAGUUGUGCACACUACACAAAAUAAAAGCUCGAAUUUAACCAUAGCAUGAAACUUUUCUAUGCUAAUCAUAGUCAUAGUUACCAUCUUGUUCAAAACUAUUCAAGAAUUUUAAUUAGUUUUUCGUCUUUGUUGCAGGGUUGCCCCUAGGGCAGGAGGAGGAAGGGUAACAAGAUAGAAGAAUGACAACAACUGCCCAAGAAAAGAAGCAAACUUGAAAAGAAUCUUAGGACAAUAGUGUGCCCACAGCUCAUAUCUGAUCACUAGAAUGUUUAACAGAGGGUCUUAGCGGAGGAAAGAAGGAGAAAGAGAGCAGAUUGUCUAAAAAAAUUUCUCUUGGGAAAAGAGUAUUGAUAAACUUACAAGUUGUUCAACGUACUUAAUUG